AAUACCUUCUGAGGUCUCCGCCGUCACAGUGAAACGAAAAUUUCUUUGAGAGACGAUCUGUAGAUUAAGGAGGAGGAGGAAGAAGAAGAAGAAGUUAAAUCUAAGAAGAAGAAGAAAAUUGUUCGAUUUGGAUAAUCAAUCGGUUUGAGCGGAAAUGGAGUUUCCAUGUGCAGUAUAUCUGAUGCUUAUAAUUUUCCCAUUUCCAAUCAGAUUUUAAAAUUGGAGUUCAUACAAAGAAAGAAGAGACUCGAAGGGAAGACAAAAUCCACAAGAAUUUAACCCCGCAAAACAACUACAUCACUGUCUACAGUGCUGGUGACAUGUUUGUAGCCCCUGCAGCUGAAUCAAAUAGACAAAAACGGUGAAACCAAAGAGGAAUUGUGAACUGAAAUUCCCAAUUUCACUACUAGGUUUGUGGAGAAGCUAAUUAUACACCUGACGAGCAAGUCAGUGAGUGCUAAUUCCAAAGCAGAAGUGGUGAAGAGAUAUAGGAGGUAGCACACUUGAAUCAAACAUGUCCUAAUUUUGAUAAAGAUGCUUCAUGCUGCUUUGGCAGGUGAAGAUCUUAUGCAAGCCAGUGAGUGCUAAUUCUAAAACAGAAGCGUUGAAGAGAUAAAGGAGGUAGCACAGUGGAAACAAACAUGUCCUAAUUUGACAAAGGUUCUUGAUGCUGCUUUGGCAGGAUAAGAUCAACGAGCUUGUAUAAGAGCACUCGCCGAGGAAGAAGUAUAUGUGAUGAAGCUUUGAAGAAACCGUACUACAACAGCUUAUGAUUCCAAAUGUGCAUGUGGAAGCACUUCAAGAGAUGAUACAAUCCAGUCAAGAUGAUGGGAUCUUUGUUCAGUGCACAAAUUCACAUUAUCAAGAAAUUGGAGGAGGACAACGAACGUUUCACAUGUGACAAAGGUACAUCAACAAGAUAUUAUGCGUCAACUCGGUAUAGAUCUAGCUAGACUACCAACCAAUGUCACUACUUUAUGCCUGAGUUGAUGCAUAAGAUUUUGUUAUCGAUGUUUAUGUUGCAUGUGAAACAUUCGCUGUCUUCUUUCAUUUUCUUAUUUGUGUCAAUUUGUGAACUGAACGGAUUUCAUCUUCUUGACUGCUGGUUCUAUUAGCUUUUUUUCUUACAGUGCCAUUCUUUUGGUCUUCAAGAAAGGCCAUAAGCGAUUUAGAUGCUUUAUCUCUUACAGUGUAUUGAUUGAAACUGUUGCACGACCUCAUUCAUAGGGAUUCUCUAAGUAACAGGCUUUUUAGACAUCAAAAACCAAGAGUCAUCUGUCAGUGUUAUCCUGGUCCUGUCUAAGGUCUCAUUUUAUAUCCCAUUACCUCAGUUGUAUAUCAUAAAUAAUUUUGUUUUGUAAAUUAUCUGAUGUGAGCAAGCUCAGGAUCCUGCAAA